rnacentral:rRNA from 1 species
UUGAAAGGGAAACGAUUGAAGUCAGUCGUGCUGGCGCGAAAUCAACUUUCUCGUCUUGAGAUCACAUGGCGUGGCGAGCCUCAAAACCGUCACGAAGCGUGAACUCUUGGUGAAAUGGAGCACUUUCGUGUCCGCUGGUUAACAUCAAUUUCGAACGUCAUAAAAAGGCUGGAGGGAUGUGGCUCCUUCGGGAGUGUUAUAACCUUUAGCGGAAUGUGGUGUUCGGGAUUGAGGAUUGCAACGAAUACCUUUAGGGCUGUUCCACCUGGCUUCUCUUUGGUAUCCUGGUGACGACGGCUUGCUGUCGUCGUUAGGAUUCGCCUUUGAACAGGUUAGAGUGUGAGCAAAUUCGUUAAGGAUGUUGACGUA